rnacentral:lncRNA from 1 species
GUGCCCUGCCUGGCCAAUAAAAGAGGAGUCAGUCCUACCAGAAGGAAUCAAGUGCUGGUCACAGACAGCCGCUGUAAUGAUUUAUAGCAGCUCUGCCCUGCAGUAGAUUCCAAGGACAUGGUACCAUUUGAACGAGGCUGGAUAUGAGAACGUGGAAAGAGAUGGUGUGGAGAAGAAAGCCUUUAGGAUAGCAGCUGUUCUGAGACUACCAGAAAAACCUUUGAGAGUGAAAUCCUAUGGCUGUGCAGGCAGUGAGGAGGCCCUGAUCUCAAGAGCUUUGUGCGGACAGAGCCUGAUGGAGGGCAGGGCGGCUGUGCGAAAGCUUGGCGUUUCUUCCUCUCCUGAGCCCGCUGCAAGGUCAGAGAUUGGGCUGUGAUCCAGUGCCCGCAACCUCCUUUCUGUCGCAGGGUAACACCUGUGUCUUGGACCUUUGCACGCAUCUGCGUGGCCCAGGGGCUCUGAAGCGUCCCUCUGAAUAGCUGCCGCGGCUUGAGGACCUGCGUCUCUGCACUCACCCACAGCUACAGGCUCAGAAAAACAAGCAAUGCGUUGAACUGACAAAAACCGCACGCAACGGUGGGCUAAAGACUUCUGUGUCAAGGCCACCAAGGAAAAA